rnacentral:rRNA from 1 species
GUAGGUGGCAAGCGUUGUCCGGAAUUAUUGGGCGUAAAGCGCGCGCAGGUGGUUCUUUAAGUCUGAUGUGAAAGCCCCCGGGCUCAACCGGGGAGGGUCAUUGGAAACUGGGGAACUUGAGUGCAGGAGAGGAAAGUGGAAUUCCACGUGUAGCGGUGAAAUGCGUAGAUAUGUGGAGGAACACCAGUGGCGAAGGCGACUUUCUGGCCUGUAACUGACACUGAGGCGCGAAAGCGUGGGGAGCAAACAGGAUUAGAUACCCUGGUAGUCCACGCCGUAAACGAUGAGUGCUAAGUGUUGGGGGGUUUCCGCCCCUCAGUGCUGCAGCUAACGCAUUAAGCACUCCGCCUGGGGAGUGCGGUCGCAAGACUG